GAUGAACGCUGGCGGCGUGCCUAAUGCAUGCAAGUCGUACGGCCUGAUUUAUCAGGCAGUGGCAGACGGGUGAGUAACGCGUAAGAACUUACCCUAAAGUGGGGGAUAACCUCGAGAAAUUGGGGCUAAUACCGCAUACGCUCCGUAAGGAGGAAAGCUCCGGCGCUUUAGGAUGGGCUUGCGCCCUAUCAGGUAGUUGGUGAGGUAAUGGCCCACCAAGCCUUAGACGGGUAGCUGGUCUGAGAGGAUGAUCAGCCACACUGGAACUGAGAUACGGUCCAGACUCCUACGGGAGGCAGCAGCAGGGAGUAUUGCGCAAUGGGCGAAAGCCUGACGCAGCAACGCCGCGUGGGGGAUGACGGCUUUCGAGUUGUAAACCCCUUUUCUUGGGGAAGGUAAUGACGGUACCCGAGGAAUAAGUCUCGGCUAACUACGUGCCAGCAGCCGCGGUAAGACGUAGGAGGCGAGCGUUAUCCGGAUUUAUUGGGCGUAAAGGGCGUGUAGGUGGUUCUCCAAGUCUUUGGUGAAAUCUCCCGGCUUAACUGGGAGGCUGCCAGAGAUACUAGGGAACUUGAGGGCAGCAGAGGGAAGUGGAAUUCCCGGUGUAGUGGUGAUAUGCGUAGAGAUCGGGAGGAACACCAGUGGCGAAGGCGGCUUUCUGGGCUGUACCUGACACUGAGGCGCGAAAGCGUGGGGAGCAAACAGGAUUAGAUACCCUGGUAGUCCACGCUAUAAACGAUGGAUACUUGGUAUUGGGGGGUAUCGACCCCCUCCGUGCCGAAGUUAACGCUUUAAGUAUCCCGCCUGGGGAUUACGGCCGCAAGGCUA
rnacentral:rRNA from 1 species